UUUCCGUAGGUGAACCUGCGGAAGGAUCAUUGUCGAAACCUGCCCAGCAGAACGACCCGCGAACUUGUAUAAACAACUGGGGGCGGGGGGCGUUCUCGCCCCGUGCCCCCGAACGGCGGGGAGACACUCGUGCCUUCUUGCCGAACAACGAACCCCGGCGCGGUUUGCGCCAAGGAACUUCAACUAAAGAGUGCCUCCGGUCGCCUCGGAAACGGCGUGCGUGCCGGAGGCGAAUCUUGUGCAAAACCAUAACGACUCUCGGCAACGGAUAUCUCGGCUCUC
rnacentral:misc_RNA from 1 species